rnacentral:rRNA from 1 species
AUCCGGGGGGUGCAAGCGUUAAUCGGAAUUACUGGGCGUAAAGCGCGCGUAGGCGGUUUGCUCAGUCGGAUGUGAAAGCCCAGGGCUCAACCUUGGAACUGCAUACGAUACUGGCAAACUAGAGUGUGAGAGAGGAUAGUGGAAUUUCCGGUGUAGCGGUGAAAUGCGUAGAUAUCGGAAGGAACAUCAGUGGCGAAGGCGACUGUCUGGCUCAACACUGACGCUGAGGUGCGAAAGCGUGGGUAGCAAACAGGAUUAGAUACCCUAGUAGUCC